rnacentral:rRNA from 1 species
UCUGAAUCUGCGNACGGCUCCGCAAACCAGUUGUAAACUAUAGCAAGCAUGCCUGGGUUCCCUUCACUGGGAGCUUGGGCGAUACGGAUAACCCUGGUAAUUCUGAGGCUAAUACGAGAACGCAAUCCUUGGCUGACCGGGCAACUGGGAGGCUGAGAGGUGUGUGAUUUAGCACGAGGAAUCUGCUGGGAAUAGACACAUGCCUGGACCGCGCCAAAAACAGAUGGGGCUUCCCGCAAGGGUCGUCCUGCCUGAGCGGCUCUUGCUUUGUGCUUCUGACCUAUCAACUAGAUGGCAGCGUAACGGACAUGCUAUGGUGACAACGGGUACAG